rnacentral:rRNA from 1 species
UACAGAGGUCCCAAGCGUUGUUCGGAUUCAUUGGGCGUAAAGGGUGCGUAGGUGGCGCUGUAAGUCGGGUGUGAAAUUUCGGAGCUUAACUCCGAAACUGCAUUCGAUACUGCGGUGCUCGAGGACUGGAGAGGAGACUGGAAUUCAUGGUGUAGCAGUGAAAUGCGUAGAUAUCAGGAGGAACACCGGUGGCGAAGGCGGCCCUCUGGACGGUGACUGACGCUGAGACGCGAAAGCGUGGGGAGCAAACAGG